rnacentral:lncRNA from 1 species
UUAAUAUUUUAUGAUGUAUUUAAAUGAGUAGUUAUUGUUGCAAACUCCAUUAGAAAUUUGAAUUGAGAUCAGUUUUGGAAAAAGGGAAAGGGGAUGUGAAAAAAAGGGGGGGGGUAAAUUUUUCUCAUUUCAGAUUUCAUAAAUAAAAAGAAAAUUUCUUCAAACAUUUUUUUGAAAGGAUUAAUAUUCAACAGCAUAGUGAAUUGCUCAAAGGCAAAAAAAAUAUUUUAAGUUCAUUAGACCACAUUCAUUCUGUGUCAGAAACCUAUGCUGUGUCAACUAUUUAAUCACAAUUCAAAUUUAGAGCUGAAUCCAGCUUGAAUGUUGUGUCCAUACUUGCCCCAACCGUUCAGGGUUCAACCUCUGCGGUCGUAUAAAGCUG